GAUGAACGCUGGCGGCGUGCUUAACACAUGCAAGUCGAACGGUGAACGAGGGAGCUUGCUCCCUCCGGAUCAGUGGCGAACGGGUGAGUAACACGUGAGCAAUCUGCCCUGGACUCUGGGACAAGCGUUGGAAACGACGUCUAAUACCGGAUACGAGGCGUGGGGGCAUCCCCAACGCCUGGAAAGAACUUCGGUCCAGGAUGAGCUCGCGGCCUAUCAGGUAGUUGGUGAGGUAACGGCUCACCAAGCCGACGACGGGUAGCCGGCCUGAGAGGGUAACCGGCCACACUGGGACUGAGACACGGCCCAGACUCCUACGGGAGGCAGCAGUGGGGAAUAUUGCACAAUGGGCGCAAGCCUGAUGCAGCAACGCCGCGUGAGGGACGACGGCCUUCGGGUUGUAAACCUCUUUUAGCAGGGAAGAAGCGAAAGUGACGGUACCUGCAGAAAAAGCACCGGCUAACUACGUGCCAGCCGCCGCGGUAAAAC
rnacentral:rRNA from 1 species